CAGUCGCACGGUAAUACGAAGGGUGCAAGCGUUAAUCGGAAUUACUGGGCGUAAAGCGUGCGUAGGCGGUUUGUUAAGUCUGUUGUGAAAUCCCCGGGCUCAACCUGGGAAUGGCAAUGGAUACUGGCAAGCUAGAGUGUGUCAGAGGAUGGUGGAAUUCCCGGUGUAGCGGUGAAAUGCGUAGAGAUCGGGAGGAACAUCAGUGGCGAAGGCGGCCAUCUGGGACAACACUGACGCUGAGGCACGAAAGCGUGGGGAGCAAACAGGAUUAGAUACCCCCGUAGUCCCUGUCUCUUAUACA
rnacentral:rRNA from 1 species